rnacentral:rRNA from 1 species
CUUCCAGGAAAAGCUCCUAAGCUUCAGCUUACGCAGACCGUACCGUAAACCGACACAGGUGGGUAGGAUGAGAAUUCUCAGGCGCUUGAGAGAACUCGGGUGAAGGAACUAGGCAACAUGGCACCGUAACUUCGGGAGAAGGUGCACCCUUUUUGGUGGCUCGUGCGAGCUAUAGCUGAAGAGGGUCGCAGUAACCAGGCCGCUGCGACUGUUUAUCAAAAACACAGCACUCUGCAAACACGAAAGUGGACGUAUAGGGUGUGACGCCUGCCCGGUGCUGGAAGGUUAAUUGAUGGGGUCAGCCGCAAGGCGAAGCUCUUGAUCGAAGCCCCAGUAAACGGCGGCCGUAACUAUAACGGUCCUAAGGUAGCGAAAUUCCUUGUCGGGUAAGUUCCGACCUGCACGAAUGGCGUAACGACAGCGGCGCUGUCUCCACCCGAGACUCAGUGAAAUUGAAAUCGCUGUGAAGAUGCAGCGUUCCCGUGGCAAGACGGAAAGACCCCGUGAACCUUUACUAUAGCUUUACACUGAACGUUGAGUUCGUCUGUGUAGGAUAGGUGGGAGGCUAUGAAACUGUGGCGCUAGCUGCAGUGGAGCCAUCCUUGAAAUACCACCCUGUCGUGCUUGACGUUCUAACCUGGGCCCAUUAUCUGGGUCGGGGACCGUGUAUGGUGGGUAGUUUGACUGGGGCGGUCUCCUCCUAAAGAGUAACGGAGGAGCUCGAAGGUACGCUCAGCGCGGUCGGACAUCGCGCACUGUGUGCAAAGGCAUAAGCGUGCUUGACUGCAAGAUCGACGGAUCAAGCAGGUAGGAAACUAGGACUUAGUGAUCCGGUGGUUCUGUAUGGAAGGGCCAUCGCUCAACGGAUAAAAGGUACUCCGGGGAUAACAGGCUGAUACCGCCCAAGAGUUCAUAUCGACGGCGGUGUUUGGCACCUCGAUGUCGGCUCAUCACAUCCUGGGGCUGUAGUCGGUCCCAAGGGUAUGGCUGUUCGCCAUUUAAAGUGGUACGCGAGCUGGGUUCAGAACGUCGUGAGACAGUUCGGUCCCUAUCUGCCAUGGGCGUUGGAGAUUUGAGAGGGGCUGCUCCUAGUACGAGAGGACCGGAGUGGACGAACCUCUGGUGUUCCGGUUGUCACGCCAGUGGCAUUGCCGGGUAGCUAUGUUCGGAAGCGAUAACCGCUGAAAGCAUCUAAGCGGGAAGCGCGCCUCAAGAUGAGAUCUCCCGGGGCACAAGCCCCCUGAAGGAACCAUGUAGACUACGUGGUUGAUAGGUCAGGUGUGUAAGUACAGCAAUGUAUUGAG